CACGGGAGGGGCAGGCGUUAUUUAUCUUUAUUGGGCGUAAAGGGUGUGUAGGCAACCAAAACUUUUGACGUGAAAGGCUAAGGUUAAUCUUAGCAGGGCGGCAAAUAUGAAUUGGCUAGAGUUGGAGGGUGGUGUUGGAAUUCUAAAAGUAGAGGUGAAAUUCAUCAAUCUUUUUAAGAAUGUCAUGAGCGAAGGCGAGCACCAAGAGCUAAACUGACGCUGAGGCACGUAGGCAUGGGUAGCAAACAGG
rnacentral:rRNA from 1 species